CAAUACUUAGUGGCAGACGGGUGAGUAACAUGUAGGUAUCUGCCCUUUGGCCUGGAAUAACACGAGGAAACUUGUGCUAAUACCGGAUAAGUCUUUACGGAGAAAGCUUUAUGCACCAUUGGAUGAGCCUGCACUUGAUUAGUUUGUUGGUGGGGUAAUGGCCUACCAAGACUUUGAUCAAUAGCUGAUUUGAGAGGAUGAUCAGCCACAUUGGGACUGAGACACGGCCCAAACUCCUACGGGAGGCAGCAGUGGGGAAUCUUGCACAAUGGAGGAAACUCUGAUGCAGCGAUGCCGCGUGAGUGAAGAAGGCCCUUGGGUUGUAAAGCUCUUUCGUCGGGGAAGAAAAUGACUGUACCCGAAUAAGAAGGUCCGGCUAACUUCGUGCCAGCAGCCGCGGUAAUACGAAGGGACCUAGCGUAGUUCGGAAUUACUGGGCUUAAAGAGUUCGUAGGUGGUUGAAAAAGUUGGUGGUGAAAUCCCAGAGCUUAACUCUGGAACUGCCAUCAAAACUUUUCAGCUAGAGUAUGAUAGAGGAAAGCAGAAUUUCUAGUGUAGAGGUGAAAUUCGUAGAUAUUAGAAAGAAUACCAAUUGCGAAGGCAGCUUUCUGGAUCAUUACUGACACUGAGGAACGAAAGCAUGGGUAGCGAAGAGGAUUAGAUACCCUCGUAGUCCAUGCCGUAAACGAUGUGUGUUAGACGUUGGAAAUUUAUUUUCAGUGUCGCAGCGAAAGCGAUAAACACACCGCCUGGGGAGUACGACCGCAAGGUUAAAACUCAAAUGAAUUGACGGGGACCCGCACAAGUAGUGG
rnacentral:rRNA from 1 species